AUGACUAUGGGUCUUCUCUCCUGCUUAGGCCCUGAUGGGUACGACAUCAUUUCUGCUAUACUCUCUUGGUGGAAGGAGUCGAGAGCCCACCUGGAUUCAAAGGACUGGGACAGAGACCCCACCUCUCGAUGGGAGGAGUGUCGAGUGUUUGCAGCAGCUGCUGGAACCACCCUGACUGCGGCAGCAACUGAAGCCAUUACAGCGAUCAGCCCAGGAAAGUCACUGUUGUCGGAGCUGCGAGACUCUCUCUGUUUCCCUGGCAUCAGUUCCUUGGCUGGGGGCCUGCAGGAGAGAAUUCUUAUCUCGGAACCUGGAAGGGCUGAGGUGCGCUCUAUCUCGUUUGUCUCAGUUGUGCUAUUUGUUUCCAUACCACGAAUCAGGACCAUUGUUGCCCUUUCACCCCGGUUUCUCAAAAACUUAGGUGCAGGUGCACGGCCCCUGUUAGGAGACCUUUGGGACUGAAGGGUGUGUGUGGAGAGCGUCAGUGUCACUCCUGGUUCAGCUUAUUUUUCCUUUGACUAUUCUUUGUUCAGCUGUAGGCUCAUCUUUACGUCCUGCCUUAUUGUGCUGUGCUUACUUCUGGAAACACCAGGAAUGGUCUUCUUCUCAAGUGCAGUGUGUUUUUCUGUGCCUGUAUUGGGGUGACAGUAGGGGCUAAGGAGACAGAUGGGUCCUCUCUUCCAACCUGGUGGGACCACACGCUCCACUGAGGGCCCUGCUGCUCCCCCUUAGGAGAACUGUCAGGGUAGACACCUGGUUGCACGAUCCAGGGUGGACAGAGUGGAGGCGGCCCCAGGAUGGAGGUGGGGAGGAGACAGCGGGUCUGUGCGGAGCCCUUGUGGGGUGGGGGCAGCCCUCUUGCUUUGGCUCCACUAGAGCCCAGUGCUUCAUCUUUUGGGGGCACAGAGAGGUGACCUGGAGAAGGGUGGCUGGAACCCUCUGAGGAUGAACACGGCUCCUUCUGCAGCCUGAUAAAUUUAACACAUCCCAGGUUACAAGGGAAGGUGCGGGGAGAACACGUUAAGCCACUUGCUGGCCAAAUGGCAGGCUUACUUCUGUGUCUGACCACAAGGUGUGCCCCAUUCAUAAACUCUGCUCUCUACACACCGAACCCCUUUCACAUGUUCUGUGCAUGGCAACUUUUAUAGAGGUGCUUUUUUUGCUAAAAAAUUUGCUUGAGAGUUCUCAGCAUCUCUGUUCCUCCCACCCCUCAUCCUCCAGGUUGCAAACCAGCUCCUCCCAGUAAGUGUCGCAGCCCAGCUUUUCUUUGGUGGCAGCGACUGUCCAGCCAGACCAUUUGGACAAGACUUCAGGGAGCAGGGGAGGCCCUGUCCUUGGUGAACAGGGCGGAUAUAAACCUGUUCUGCGGCCCGCAGAGAAUUUAGUUCUCUUUUGCAGAGAAGAUAGAGAAUAGAAGUAGUUUCUGUGAUUUUCCAUCUUGUAAAACAAUUGCACGAUUUUUUUGUGCUGUCUCUCUAAUAAGGUAUGUCACUUUUUAAGCACAGUGUUGCUUUGGCGUAAUAAAUAACGUACAUAACGACA
rnacentral:lncRNA from 1 species